rnacentral:rRNA from 1 species
GACGAACGCUGGCGGCGUGCUUAACACAUGCAAGUCGAACGGAAAGGCCCUGCUUUUGUGGGGUGCUCGAGUGGCGAACGGGUGAGUAACACGUGAGUAACCUGCCCUUGACUUUGGGAUAACUUCAGGAAACUGGGGCUAAUACCGGAUAGGAGCUCCUGCUGCAUGGUGGGGGUUGGAAAGUUUCGGCGGUUGGGGAUGGACUCGCGGCUUAUCAGCUUGUUGGUGGGGUAGUGGCUUACCCAGGCUUCGACGGGUAGCCGGCCUGAGAGGGUGAACGGCCACAUUGGGACUGAGAUACGGCCCAGACUCCUACGGGAGGCAGCAGUGGGGAAUAUUGCACAAUGGGCGGAAGCCUGAUGCAGCAACGCCGCGUGCGGGAUGAAGGCCUUCGGGUUGUAAACCGCUUUCGCCUGUGACGAAGCGUGAGUGACGGUAAUGGGUAAAGAAGCACCGGCUAACUACGUG